GUGGGAAUCUUUUCUUUUUUCCUUUUGCUCAACCAAAUUAGAGAACGAACGUGGAUCACCAUUAAAGGGUCGAACAUUACUUGAUAUGAAAAACCCAAUUCAAUAGUGAUAUAUUGAAUCCUUACCAGAGAGAUUCAAGAGCAUUUCACCGUCUUCACCACUUCCAUCUCUGAAAGAGCAUAUCAAAGAGAAGAAAAAGUG
rnacentral:misc_RNA from 1 species